AAGUAUUUUCUCUGUGUAGUUUAGAUUAAAAAUAAUACUUAUACAAGUAUUAUAUAUAUAUAUAUAUUUCUAAUAUAUAUUCGCCUCACAUGCAUGAAGCUCACGCUUUACCUCGCGCCUAGGUGCACUUUGUGCCUUAGACAACUAUGCUUGCAGCAGCCAAACAAAUAAAAACAAUUUAGUGGAACUGAAUCAGCACAGUAACUACACAAAAACGAGAAUACCUUUGUGCCAGUAAUGACAUCAUUCGCAAUUGAUGGUAUAUGAGAGUACUCUAUAGCAGUUACUUCAGAGUGCCCAUCUGUGAGUAUCAAUCUUAACAGACGCCUAGUAUGUGAAUUUUCUGAAA